UCUCCGUUGGUGAACCAGCGGAGGGAUCAUUACAGAGUUGCAAAACUCCCAAACCAUUGUGAACGUUACCUAUCCCGUUGCUUCGGCGGGCGGCCCGGGCCCCGCGCCCGGCGCCCCCCGGCCCCCCGUGGGCGCCCGCCGGAGGUAAACCAAACCCUUGAAUUGCAUGGCCUCUCUGAGUCUUCUGUACUGAAUAAGUCAAAACUUUCAACAACGGAUCUCUUGGUUCUGGCAUCGAUAAAGAACGCAGC
rnacentral:misc_RNA from 1 species